rnacentral:rRNA from 1 species
CCCGGGCCUUGUACACACCGCCCGUCACACCACGAAAGCUGCUUGAACCAGAAGUCCGCGACCCAACCUUCCUUCGGGGAGGAGGGAACGGCCCAAGGUUUGGGUGGUGAUUGGGGUG